AAUAAAGUAUUCUAUAUUAUACCAAAGCAUGAUUUCACCUGAAGUUAAGCAUGAGAUAUUGAGAUAAUGAUGAUUGAAAUUUCUCUAAAAUGAAUUUGUAUGAAGUUUUGAUGAUUAAUCGAAUCAUAAGAUCUAUUGGAGCAGGAGCCACUCCUAAAGGUGUUCUUAGAGUCAUGGGUGUACCAGGGUUAACUAUAUAUCAUGUGAAGAGCCACUUACAGAAAUAUCGUCUAGCAAAGUAUAUUCCCGAUUCUUCAUCUGAUGGCUUGAAGGAUGAAAGUAAAGAACCUGGC